AGUUCAGUAGAUCAACGUUUCGACCUAUUCAGGUCUUUAUCAAGAUCAGAACAAAGUGAUAAAGACCUGAAUCGGUCGAAACGUUGAUCUACUGAAC